rnacentral:rRNA from 1 species
GACGAACGCUGGCGGCGUGCUUAACACAUGCAGGUCGUACGGUAAGGCCCUUUCGGGGGUACACGAGUGGCGAACGGGUGAGUAACACGUGAGUAACCUGCCCACAACUUUGGGAUAACGCUAGGAAACUGGUGCUAAUACUGGAUAUGUGCCCCUGCUGCAUGGUGGGGGUUGGAAAGCUCCGGCGGUUGUGGAUGGACUCGCGGCCUAUCAGCUUGUUGGUGGGGUAGUGGCCUACCAAGGCGGCGACGGGUAGCCGGCCUGAGAGGGUGACCGGCCACAUUGGGACUGAGAUACGGCCCAGACUCCUACGGGAGGCAGCAGUGGGGAAUAUUGCACAAUGGGCGCAAGCCUGAUGCAGCAACGCCGCGUGCGGGAUGACGGCCUUCGGGUUGUAAACCGCUUUCAGCAGGGACGAAGCUUUUUGUGACGGUACCUGCAGAAGAAGCACCGGCUAACUACGUG